GAUGCUCCUGGAAGGUUUGCAGUUUGUGACCACAUUGAUGCAGUUGCACAUACUGCCUUUACUUGAUGAGCACAAAGAGAGGUUGAAACCUGAUGGAGGAGAAGAAAAUUACAAGAUCAGGCACAUUCCACAGGUAUCAUUCAUACCUAUGUCUGUUUUGAGAACUUUGAAUAAGUUAUCACCAUGCAGACCCCAGGAGGAGGAUACAGCAGGGUUGACAGCAGAUGAAGUAUGAAUAAUCCAAGUCAAGGAAAUUUGUACCAGAUUGUGGUUAUUAGAGAUAUUUUAUUUUAUAUGUCUUGUGGGUGUAUUGAAUCUAUUCUCAUUUCCAGUUCUUGUAAUUGGUUUUGUGAACGUAAAUUUACUACAUCCUAUAUUUUGAGAUUCUUGCUGGCUCAAAGGACAGAAAUAAUUUGAUUACCAAAUCUACUUUAUCAUGUGCCACAUUACCAGUUGUAUCAUAACCCAUGGACCAUGACCAAAGGGGCACUGGAACUUAAUCAAGCACAACAGUGUCAUGAAAAUUUGAACUUAAGAAAUCGAACUGAGAAUUCUAAGGUUAUAGGUGGUUAACAAGUGCAAGGUAUUUGUCUAAGAAAAUGUAUAUCAUGCCACAUGCCAACUACAUUUUUGAGUUCAAACAAUUCUUGAUACCAGAUUAAUCUAUUGCUAAAUGUUACAUGCAGAUAAUACAUUUUGAUUUUUGUAUCACUUCAAUUCUUAAAAAAUUGCAAAAUUUUUCUUCCAUCAAAUGGAGUUCGCGGUAGACAAGGUACAUACCAAUCAUAUCUAGCAUUUACCCUGUCAAUGAAGUGGUUUGUUAAAUCACUAGAUAAAAGGAGAAGACAUGACGAAGGCCAUCAAAGUUAACAAUGAAUUCCUAGAAACUAGAAGUUUUAAUGAUCUUUUACCUCGUAUGCAGCAUCCAGUCCAAGGUUUGGUAUGAAAGAGGAUUCGAAAGGCCAAUUCAUCAAUUCUAUAUUAAUUGCUACUGCCGGAGACCCAGCUUACCCCAGCUUCUUUUCUGAGUCCAUUAUCCACUAUAUCAUCCCUUAACUUCAUCACAUCAUCCCACCUCCCAUCUUCAGCAUA
rnacentral:lncRNA from 1 species